UACGGGGGGGGCAAGCGUUGUUCGGAAUUACUGGGCGUAAAGGGUUUGUAGGUGGCUAUUUAAGUCAGACGUGAAAUCCCUCAGCUUAACUGGGGAACUGCGUCUGAUACUGGUUGGCUUGAGUGCAGGAGAGGAAUGCGGAAUUCCAGGUGUAGCGGUGAAAUGCGUAGAUAUCUGGAGGAACACCGGUGGCGAAGGCGGCAUCCUGGACCGAGAUUGACGCUGAGGCGCGAAAGCCAGGGGAGCAAACGGG
rnacentral:rRNA from 1 species